rnacentral:lncRNA from 1 species
UUCCAGGAGCAGGGGGGCUUUGAAAAUCAAACACCGAGCUCUUCCUUUCCUAGCUGCAAUUAGUGUCUGGUAGAAGGGCGGGAAGCUGGAUCAAACUGGCUGGCACAUGGCAACGUGUGCUCUCCUAGAAUCUGAAUUCUGGAUCAACGUCCAUCGCCCACCCAAACUUCGCAACAAGUGAUUUGUUGAAAAUCUGUCAGCAAAAUCAGUAUUCAGUAGGGAACAGGUUUCGUAACUGUGCCUUCUCAAUAGGGAACUUAGAGAAGAAUAAAUGUUAUCCCAAGAAUAUACCUUCUCUAUAGGGACUUCAUGGCGUUUGCACCAUGCCACAGUAAUUCUAGGAUCAAGGUAGUUGAUCUUUGACGUUCCAAGUGCAACUGUCUUCAGAUCCUCUUUUGUCUUCUUCUCCAUCUCCAUCUUCUCAAUCUUGGUUUCAAUUGCUGCAAUCUUC